rnacentral:rRNA from 1 species
UACGUAGGGGGCAAGCGUUGUCCGGAUUUAUUGGGCGUAAAGAGCGUGUAGGCGGUUCGGUAGGUCCGUUGUGAAAACUCGAGGCUCAACCUCGAGACGCCGAUGGAAACCCUCGAACUAGAGUCCGGAAGAGGAGAAUGGAAUUCCUGGUGUAGCGGUGAAAUGCGCAGAUAUCAGGAGGAACACCAAUUGCGAAGGCAGCUCGCUGGGACGUUACUGACGCUGAGACGCGAAAGCGUGGGGAGCAAACAGG